rnacentral:rRNA from 1 species
GACGAACGCUGGCGGCGCGCUUAACACAUGCAAGUCGAGCGAUGAAAUUUCGACAGAUCCCUUCGGGGUGAAGAUGAAAUGGAUUAGCGGCGGACGGGUGAGUAACACGUGAGUAACCUGCCUUAGACAUUGGGAUAGCCUCGGGAAACCGGGAUUAAUACCAAAUGAAAUCACAUAUGCACAUGCAUAAAUGAUCAAAGCUCCGGCGGUCUAAGAUGGACUCGCGUCCCAUUAGCUAGUUGGUGAGGUAACGGCCCACCAAGGCGACGAUGGGUAGCCGGCCUGAGAGGGUGAACGGCCACAUUGGAACCGAGAAACGGUCCAAACUCCUACGGGAGGCAGCAGUGGGGAAUAUUGCACAAUGGAGGGAACUCUGAUGCAGCGACGCCGCGUGAACGAAGAAGGCUUUCGAGUCGUAAAGUUCUUUUAUAUGGGAAGAUAAUGACGGUACCAUAAGAAAAAGCCCCGGCUAACUACGUGCCAGCAGCCGCGGUAAUACGUAGGGGGCUAGCGUUGUCCGGAAUCACUGGGCGUAAAGGGUUCGCAGGCGGAAAUGCAAGUCAGGUGUAAAAGGCAGUAGCUUAACUACUGUAAGCAUUUGAAACUGCAUAUCUUGAGAAGAGUAGAGGUAAGUGGAAUUUUUAGUGUAGCGGUGAAAUGCGUAGAUAUUAAAAAGAAUACCGGUGGCGAAGGCGACUUACUGGGCUCAUUCUGACGCUGAGGAACGAAAGCGUGGGUAGCAAACAGG